CCUANGGGGGGCAGCAAUUAGGAAUCUUGCGCAAUGGGGGCAACCCUGACGCAGCGACGCCGCGUGGAGGAUGAAGGUUCUCGGAUCGUAAACUCCUUUUAUGUGGGAAGAAUGAAUGACGGUACCACAUGAAUAAGUACCUGCUAACUACGUGCCAGAAGCAUCGGUGAUGCGUAGGGUGCGAACAUUAUCCGGAGUUAUUGGGUGUAAAGAGAAGCGUAGGCUUUUUUAUAAGUCAAAUGUCAAAGACCUCUGCUCAACAGAGGGAAGGCACUUGAAACUAUAAGAAUAGAGAUAGGAAGGGGCGAGUGGAAUUCUCGGUGUAGCGGUAAAAUGCGUUGAUAUCGAGAGGAACACCAGAGGCGAAGGCGACUCGCUGGUCCUAUUCUGACGCUAAGGCUCGAAAGCGUGGGGAGCAAAACGGAUUAGAUACCCUGNUANUC
rnacentral:rRNA from 1 species